rnacentral:rRNA from 1 species
UACGUAGGGCGCAAGCGUUGUCCGGAAUUAUUGGGCGUAAAGAGCUCGUAGGCGGCUUGUCGCGUCUGUUGUGAAAGCCCGGGGCUUAACCCCGGGUCUGCAGUGGAUACGGGCAGGCUAGAGGCAGGUAGGGGAGAACGGGAAUUCCCGGUGUAGCGGUGAAAUGCGCAGAUAUCGGGAGGAACACCAGUGGCGAAGGCGGCUUACUGGUCCAUUACUGACGCUGAGGUGCGAAAGCGUGGGGAGCAAACAGG